CAGUCGCCGCGGUAAUACGUAGGGUGCGAGCGUUAAUCAGAACUACUGGGCGCAAAGUGUGCGCAGGCGGUUAUAUAAGACAGAUGCGAAAUCCCCGGGCUCAACCUGGGACCUGCAUUUGUGACUGUAUAGCUAGAGUACGGUAGAGGGGGAUGGAAUUCCGCGUGUAGCAGUGAAAUGCGUAGAUAUGCGGAGGAACACCGAUGGCGAAGGCAAUCCCCUGGACCCGUACUGACGCUCAUGCACGAAAGCGUGGGGAGCAAACAGGAUUAGAUACCCCCGUAGUCCCUGUCUCUUAUAA
rnacentral:rRNA from 1 species